rnacentral:rRNA from 1 species
CCUACGGGAGGCAGCAGUGAGGAAUAUUGGUCAAUGGGCGCGAGCCUGAACCAGCCAAGUAGCGUGAAGGAUGACUGCCUUACGGGUUGUAAACUUCUUUUAUAAAGGAAUAAAGUGAGGUACGUGUGUAUUUAUGCACGUACUUCAUGAAUAAGGAUCGGCUAACUCCGUGCCAGCAGCCGCGGUAAUACGGAGGAUCUGAGCGUUAUCCGGAUUUAUUGGGUUUAAAGGGAGCGUAGAUGGGUUGUUAAGUCAGUUGUGAAAGUUUGCGGCUCAACCGUAAAAUUGCAAUUGAUACUGGCAGUCUUGAGUGCAGUUGAGGUAGGCGGAAUUCGUGGUGUAGCGGUGAAAUGCUUAGAUAUCACGAAGAACUCCGAUUGCGAAGGCAGCUUACUAAACUGCCACUGACAUUGAUGCUCGAAAGCGUGGGUAUCGAACAGGAUUAGAUACCCGGGUAGUC